rnacentral:rRNA from 1 species
UACGGAGGAUGCGAGCGUUAUCCGGAUUUAUUGGGUUUAAAGGGUGCGUAGGCGGACUGUCAAGUCAGCGGUAAAAUUGAGAGGCUCAACCUCUUCCCGCCGUUGAAACUGGUGGUCUUGAGUGGAUGAGAAGUACGCGGAAUGCGUGGUGUAGCGGUGAAAUGCAUAGAUAUCACGCAGAACUCCGAUUGCGAAGGCAGCGUACCGGCAUCCAACUGACGCUGAGGCACGAAAGCGUGGGGAGCAAACAGG